UUUUACGCUGCAAGGCUUUUAGCUUCUAAAACACUUUAAUAUUGACUUGGACUUUUUGUCCCUUGGGAACUGGGCAGGCCCUAGUACGAACACAUGCAGAUUGGUUAUACGUUUUCUCAUUAAGUGCUAUCUUUCUUAAGCUCCCUAUUGGCAAAUUAGUUAGGUUUGAAGAGUUAUUGUAUUCAAGCCAUCAUGGAUGCUUUGGGAUUAUGAUGUAACCCAGAAGUAUUAACCCCCUCAUUUGGGUACCUAGAGUCUUGGCAAAGCUUCUUAGCUAGCCAAUGUUUGAAGUUAGUG
rnacentral:lncRNA from 1 species